rnacentral:tRNA from 1 species
GGGCCCAUAGCUCAGUUGGUUAGAGCAGAGGACUCAUAAUCCUUUGGUCGCUGGUUCGAGUCCAGCUGGGCCCACCA